AGGUGUGGCAGAGUGAGAGAAAGGAUUGAAGAGUGGAAAAAAAUCUGAAGGUAUAUAGAGGUUGAUUGAUGAAGAUACAGAGAUGUUUUUGAGAUGGUGAAGAUUGAAGAUGGUGAAUUUUGUGUGAAGAAUGAAUAGAGAGAGCUUGAAGAAUGAAGAAGACCUCUGUUAUAUAGAGAUGAAGAAGAUCGGUUUUGAAGGUGUGGUGAUGAUUCUUUGGAUUUUAAUAGCCUUGUGCAUAUAACAACAACAUGACAAGCCCUGGUUCAAAUUGAUGCUGGCAGGACCCGCAGCGACAUGUUUGAAAUGGUUUAAAGGUUUGGCUCAGUGCUAUAAAUAGACUUGGCGUAGCCGCGAACUAAACUUGAAUGUGAACUGGAAUGGCUUGACAAACUGUUGUGAACAUGGAGCUCAACUGUUUUCUUUUUCUUCCGCAGGUUUGGUAGUUUGAAGAAGGUGCUGGUCAUGACACUAUGAAAUUCUUGGCAAUUGGACGAAAUCAAAACCGUGAAGGAAGAAGAUGAAAAAUUGAAGAUGUUAUAAUGGAAACAAUUAAGUUCUAGGAUAUAGGCCUGAUAAGUGUAGAGUUUGUGAGUAGAAAUG